rnacentral:rRNA from 1 species
GUAGAAGGCAAACGUUAUUCGGAAUUACUGGGCGUAAAGCGGGGUGUAGACGGGCUUUUUAAGUCGGAUGUGAAAUCUCUUAACUUAAUUGAGAGAGGUCAUUCGAUACUAUUAAGCUUGAGGACGGCAGAGGAAGGCGGAACUCCCGGUGUAGCGGUGAUAUGCGUAGAUAUCGGGAGGAACACCAGUGGCGAAGGCGGCCUUCUAGUCCGUUCCUGACGUUGAGGCCCAAAAGCGUGGGGAGCGAAACGGAUUAGAUACCCGUGUAGUCCACGCUGUAAACGUUGGAUACUAGGUAUAGGGGGUAUCGACCCUCUCUGUGCCGAAGCUAACGCUUUAAGUAUCCCGCCUGGGGACUACGGCCGCAAAGGCUA